GAUGAACGCUGGCGGCGUGCCUAAUACAUGCAAGUCGAGCGAACAGAUGAGGAGCUUGCUCCUCUGACGUUAGCGGCGGACGGGUGAGUAACACGUGGAUAACCUACCUAUAAGACUGGGAUAACUUCGGGAAACCGGAGCUAAUACCGGAUAAUAUAUUGAACCGCAUGGUUCAAUAGUGAAAGACGGUUUUGCUGUCACUUAUAGAUGGAUCCGCGCCGCAUUAGCUAGUUGGUAAGGUAACGGCUUACCAAGGCAACGAUGCGUAGCCGACCUGAGAGGGUGAUCGGCCACACUGGAACGGAGACACGGUCCAGACUCCUACGGGAGGCAGCAGUAGGGAAUCUUCCGCAAUGGGCGAAAGCCCGACGGAGCAACGCCGCGUGAGUGAUGAAGGUCUUCGGAUCGUAAAACUCUGUUAUUGGGGAAGAACAAAUGUGUAAGUAACUAUGCACGUCUUGACGGUACCUAAUCAGAAAGCCACGGCUAACUACGUG
rnacentral:rRNA from 1 species